rnacentral:rRNA from 1 species
AAUUAACGCUGGCGGCGUGCCUAACACAUGCAAGUCGAGCGAGAAAGUCCCUUCGGGGAUGUGUACAGCGGCGGACUGGUGAGUAACGCGUGAGAAUCUGCCCUUUAGUGAAGAAUACCCUCGAGAAAUCGAGGCUAAUACUGCAUACGUCCCUUCGGGGAGAAAGAUGGCCUCUUUGCUAUCGCUAAAGGAUGAGCUUGCGUACUAUUAGCUAGUUGGUGAGGUAAUGGCUCACCAAGGCGAUGAUGGUUAGCCGGCCUGAGAGGGUGUACGGCCACACUGGAACUUAGACACGGUCCAGACUCCUACGGGAGGCAGCAGUGAGGAAUCUUGCACAAUGGGCGAAAGCCUGAUGCAGCGACGCCGCGUGGAGGAUGAAGGCCUUCGGGUUGUAAACCUCUGUCACUGGGGAGAAAACGCUUUGAGUUAAUAGUUCAAAGCCUGAUUUAACCCGGAGAGGAAGCAGUGGCUAACUCUGUGCCAGCAGCCGCCGUAAGAC